rnacentral:rRNA from 1 species
UACGUAGGGUGCAAGCGUUGUCCGGAAUUAUUGGGCGUAAAGAGCUCGUAGGCGGUUCGUCGCGUCGGCUGUGAAAACCCGGAGCUCAACUCCGGGCCUGCAGUCGAUACGGGCGGACUCGAGUUCGGCAGGGGAGACUGGAAUUCCUGGUGUAGCGGUGAAAUGCGCAGAUAUCAGGAGGAACACCGGUGGCGAAGGCGGGUCUCUGGGCCGGUACUGACGCUGAGACGCGAAAGCGUGGGGAGCGAACAGG